CGACGCUUUAACAGUGCUUGAUAUGUUGUGACUUAAUUUCAUAAAUUUCGAAGAAUUCUUAUCUGCUGUCGCUGGCCUAUUUUUCUUCGGGAACCUUGCCGGAGUGGAUACUGGCUGCUACGAUAUUUUGUUUAAGGUAACAACAUUCAAAGGGAAUAGGUACCUUGGACGACUUGACUAGAACUGUCUGAUUCGAUCGCCAUUCGCAUCAGAUCCAGCUGGAUCAGCCAGCGAAUAAGAUAAACUGCGCCAUCUGUGCACAGAGGUGCGAAACCAGGAACGAAGGAGUGUCUUUAAAAGUGUCACGUAUUACUGAAUCUUGAUCAAGGCUUCCUGAGGAUAACUAGACCUAUGACCUUCAACAGACACAGCUACCGACCCCUAGACAAGGGUAGGGUGCCUGCUCAAUUUUUGAGCCGGUGCUGCUAUCU